UAUGACCAUGUCAUGUUGAAACACCGGUUCCUGUACAAUCACCGAAGUUAAGCAACAGCAAGCUUUGUCAAUAUCUAGAUGGGUGACCACUUGGGAAUACAAGGUGCUGUAAG